GGAGAAGAGGUCUGAUUGU
rnacentral:siRNA from 1 species